CUUUGACAGUUUAUUUUUGGAUUCUUUCAGUACCAGAAAUUAAACUCCAGGCCCCUUUGCACUGAGCUAUAUCCCCAGCCACCCCCUCCCCCCACUCUUUUUUUGAGACAAGGUCUUGAGUUGUCCUGGCUGGGCUCAAACUUGCAGCCCUCCUGUCUCAGCCUCUCAGAGUUCUGGUAUUACAGCUGUGCACUUCAUGGCCAUCUGUUUGUGACCUCUUUACGAUCUUCUAUGUACAAGAUCAUAUCAUCUGUGAGCAGAGAUAAUUUUUAGUUCUUUCUUUCCAAUGUGAAUGCUUUUUAUUUUUUUCUUGCCUAACUGCUGUGGCUAAAGUCUCCAGCACUGUGUUGAACAGGAGGGGCAGGAGUGGCCCUUGCCCCCUUCCUGACCUUAGAGGAAUAGUAUCAGUCUCCACAUUCACUGAGCGAACCCACUGCUCAGGAUUCUCCAUAGAUGGUUUGCACUCUGUUGAGAUGAUUUACUCCUCUUCCGCCUUUGUUGAGUGCUGCUACCAUGAAAGGGUGUUGAAUUUUGUCAAAUCAUUUUUCUGCAUCAGUUGCACGAUCAUGUGAUUUUUAUUAUUCACUCUGCUAAAGUGAGGUUAUGGUUUGGAUCUAAAAUGGCCCACACAGCCUCAUGUGUUUGGAAGGUGAUUGGACCAUAGCGGCACUAGCUUGGUUUAGGGAAGUAGGGUCUGGUGGCAAGAGGCGGUCCCUGGCUUUAUCUCCCUCCUUGGGUCCUGCUUUGACUCUGUGCUUCCUGUCUGCCAUGAGGUGAGCAGCUCUUCCUCUGCUGUGCCCCUCUCCCAAGCUGUUUCUCCCUUGGACUAGAAACAUGAGCCAAAAUAAUCCUCUCCUCCUUGAAGUUGCCAGUGCUGGGUACUGUGUCUGUGACGAGAAAGUAGCUGAGACAAGAGGUGUAUUACACCAAUGGACUGUCGUGUGGAACCACCCUGGUCAAGGUGAUAGUCCUUUAAUGUGCAGGUGGAUUCAGUAUGUAUUUCGCUGAGGACAUUCACAUAUGAGUUCAUGAGGGUUUGGUCUGUAGAUUUUUCCUCUUGUGGUGUCUUUGCUGCCUUUGGUAUCCAGCUGAGCAUAGCCUCAGAAUGACACAGGAAGUAUUUCCUCCUCUUCUGUUUUCUGAGAGCAUUGUUUUCUAAGCAUUUGGUAGAAUUCAGCACUCAAGCCAGCAGGUCUGGGGCUUUCUUUGUCAGGAGAUUUUUGAUUGCAAAGUCAAUCUCUUUGUUUUUGGUACCGGGGAUCGAACUCGGGUCCUUGCGCUUGCACAGCAGGUGGCAAAACCACUGAGCUAAAUCCCCAGCCUACUAAGUCAAUCUCUUUAUUAGCUGUAGGUCUGUCCGGGUUUUCUAUUUUGUGUGCUUUAGAUUUGGUAGGUUUUGUAUUUCUAGGAACUUAUCCUGUGCUUUCGUGUAAAACAAGAGAUGAAGAUAUGAGUGGAAACAACAAGUCUGGCCCGAGUGCCUGAGAAGCAGCAGGAGAACCUGAGCCUCCUAGAGUGAUCAAGGCCAAGCAGCUGUCUGUGUCCACUACAGGGGCCAGGGAGCCAUGCCCAGGAUGCUCUGUAACAUUAAGGCCGUGGAGGAGCAGGAGGCUCUGUUGGGCCAAGCUGGCUUCUCUGGGGGACCCUGUGAAGGGCUAUUGCCAUAGUGGGACCUUGGGGACCGGGCAGGGACCCCCUCAUCAGAAGCCCCUCUGGCUACGGCCUAUCUGUAGGGGAUGCCUCACUGCCCAUUUGCUUUCCAGGCCUAAGACUUUCAUCUUUGUAUUUCAGCAACAGAACUGCAUCUCAAUAGUGACAGGGAAAUAAAGGCCCGAGCAGCUCCUUUUCCACCCUGGUUUAGCUGUGCAACCUCCGCCCUCAGUGACCGACACCCAGGGCCUGCACGAGCUGCUUUGUCUGCUGUCUUUUCCCACAGGCCACCUCACUCCACAGCGUCACAAACUCCCUGUGUGUCUGGGCUCGGGUGUUCCAGCAGCUUCCUGGACUGAGCAUCUGUGCUGGGCCUUACGAGGCUCCAGCGUGCUGUCUUUGCCUCUGUCCCAGAAGCACCUCCCUUGCCUUGGCCACGUUCCUAUAAGCAGAAUGAUGGCCACCCCGUGGAAGGGCCCUGGUCCUGCAGAAUUCUCCAAGAGGGUUUGCCUUGAGCCCAGGCAUCCCAGGCAGCCCUGGGCAGGGUUCCCCCGGAUGCCAGCAUCUCCUCAGUAGCAGCUGCACCAACAGUGACAUGUGAACAGACUAAGAAGAUGUUCCAGCCAGAUGAUGGAAUUUGCUCAGCCCAACAUGGAGGAGCUUAGGAACACAUGUGGGGUGAAGGAAGCCACACGGAAGACACGACAGGACGUAGGAGUCUAUUUUUAUGAAAGGUCCAGAAUAGAAUGAAGAAAGGAAACCCACAGAGUGCGUGAGGAUGGUUUAAUAAAGCAAAAACCCCAGGAAGAGCGGGAUGGGAGCAGCCAGGCCUCGUGUGGGGGCUGGCAGCGGGGUGGAGGGGCCAGCAGCUUGGUGGACGGAUGGAGGGAUGGCACGGGCUCCAACUCUCCUGCCAGCACCUGCCCCGAGCUGACAGAUGGCCUGUCCCCCGCAGCCCCUCCAGCUUCAUUCCUGCCUGGAGCUGCCCCUCCAGCCCCAGCCCUGGUCCCCUGAGUUCAGCAGCCCUGCAGGGCCCACAGGGGCCACUGCACAGCUCUGGAUGACACUGCUGGCCCCUGUCCCCCAUGUGCACAGACAUCCCCUCCCCAGGCUGGGGUCUCCGCCUGGCACUGCCCAUCGUCUGUCUGGAGCGCUGGCCAGCAGGGUAUGCGGGGGCCUCCUGCUGGACACCGCCCCCUGCUGGGCACGGGGAUGGAGGAGAAUUAGCUCCUCUCCCCAGGAGCCUCUCCAUGUGGCCUCCUCCCAGAUCACCGUGUGCCCUCUGGGUGGGUGGGUGGCUCCCGGCCCGCUCUGAACAUUGGGCAGCAGGCUUGCCUUCCCAGGAAGGCUGGGCACCCUUGGCAGGCUGCCCUCUGCCCCAUGGCAGCGUUGCUUUGGCAACUGCCAGGACUUACUGUCCCCGGCCUGCCAAGCACAGCUGCGGUGGGUGGCACUGUGGGGCAGGGCUUCUUCCCGGGCCGAGCGGCUCUCUGGGCCAGCUGGGGUGGGCGCAGCCCUCCCCCUGCAGCUGCACCCCUCUGCACAGACACAGGAGGGGCCACAGCCAGAGGCAGUGUGGAUGGUGGGCUGGGGUCCCAGCCUUGGCCUCCUCUUGCUGCACAUGUGAAGUUGCCCCUUUCGGUGCCUCGGUGUCCCUGUGUUCCCAGGAGGCUCAGCACUGGGGCUCCCCGGCAUGCCGAGGUGCUAUUCAGAGCCGGACAGGAAGAGCUGGGCAUGUGUACGGGGACUGCCCACUGCAGGGGGUGGUCCUGCCAGGCAGGGGUGCCUAGCACAGGUUAGUGCUGAAUCCAGGGCAAAAAUGCUCACAUGGCUAAUUGGGAUUAAAACACUUAUGGGAAGAAUUUAGGAAGGUGCUGGCCCAGUCCCCUGGCGCCUGAGUUCCCCACUCUGCCCUCCUAUAGUUGGUUAAAUUGCCCCCCUGAUAAAAAGGAAAUGUCCAAGUCCUAGCCUCGUACCUGUGAAUAAAGCCGUAGGGAGUUUGGAAACAGAGUCUUUGCAGGUACAAUUAGGACGAGGUCACACUUGGCAGGGUGCAGCUCAGCGGCAGAGUGCUCAUCUGGCACAUGCAAGGCCCUGGCUUCAUCCCCAGUGCUGCACAAAAACAGAAAAGCUGAGGCUGUACUGGCCGAGGGCGGCCCUGACUCCGCUGAAUGGCGGCUAGCAGCUUCUGUGGUCCCAAGCAUACAGUCUGUGAUCCUUUUCCUGGAAGCCACAGGACACUCCCAGUUCCUCCUUGUAAGGCCCUUCUUGCUCCUUGUCCUGCCCCCUAGUCCCCGUCCCUGAGCCCCUGGGUCUCACUCUGUGGAAGGGGACCCUGCUGGGGGCCAGGAGGACCCAUGUAGGAUGUGGGAAGGAAAGACCAUGGCGUCCCCCGCUCCUGGCCCGCACUGCCAGGACAGGAUCCUGAGCAGGAGCAGCCUUGGGCUGCAGAGGGCAACAGCCUUUCUGCUCCUGCCUUUGUUCAAAAUUGUGGGAUUUUGCUCCUCUUGUAUUUUUUACAUGAAUUUUGACUCUUUAAAACACUGCAUUAAAAUAUUGGUCACCUAAUUCACAAA
rnacentral:lncRNA from 1 species